CCAACGCUGGCAGGGUCGCACCAUUUCAGCAACUUCCGGUGCAGGGAUGUCCUGGGGCACCCUCAGUGGGUGCUCACUGCUGCUCACUGCAUCACCAGGAACACCGUGAUCAAUUAGCCAGCACCACAGGUCUCUGAAGUCAGACUAUCAUGAUUACUGUGUUGACUGUGCUGUCCAUUGCAAUAACCAUGCCCACAUUUUGGUGAAAUUAGCAUCACUUGGCCCGAACCAUCUUGGUAUCCAAGUAUCCUCACUGAAUUGAGAUUUCCUGCUUCAGUGUCAGCCAUUUCCACAUAAUUUCUGACCUACACAGAUGAGGGAUCAUACAGCUCUUCAAGGACGCUGAUACUCCCCUCACAAAUUCAUUUCUCCUGUUGUAGUGAAAAGUGCGCCCUCUGGAGCCUCCCAGGGUUGGUGUGCAGGUCAUAAUGAUGAAUGUAUGAUCAAGUUCCCAUUACCCAAAGCCUUUAAAUCCCUCGUGCCCUGUACACCAGGGCAGGUCUAGCACUUCUUCAUUUAGUGUAUGCCGUCCAUUCAUGCAACCACCUCAGGACUCCUGGGUUCUCUGCCUGGUUGAGCUCCUGCAUGCUGCCUCCUUGGGGAGGAGAGGGAGAGGACCCAUGGGUCAAUGGAAUCUGUGCAGUUGUGACACAUUAGGUGCUUAAUAAACAGAAGCUGUGAUGUUAA